rnacentral:rRNA from 1 species
UACGUAGGUGGCGAGCGUUGUCCGGAAUUACUGGGUGUAAAGGGCGUGUAGGCGGGGGAUCAAGUCAGAUGUGAAAUUCCAGAGCUUAACUCUGGCGCUGCAUCUGAAACUGGACUUCUUGAGUGCUGGAGAGGAAAGCGGAAUUCCUAGUGUAGCGGUGAAAUGCGUAGAUAUUAGGAGGAACACCAGUGGCGAAGGCGGCUUUCUGGACAGUAACUGACGCUGAGGCGCGAAAGCGUGGGGAGCAAACAGG